CAGAUAAGCACUCACAGAACAGCUGCUGCUGAAGAAGGAAAAGAGAGCCUGGGGAAAGCCUGGUGCUGGGAGUUCAUAACAAACUUUAAAGCGCAACUUUCCCCCCUUGUGUGGGGACUGAAAAAGUGGACUAAGGUAACAGUGAUUAUGGAGGCAGGCCUGUGAAAGAGCUGCGUGGCUUCUGUUUAGAACAGUCAUCCCUAUUCAAAAAGAAGACAGCAGAAGAGAGUUGUGCUGUUCCCAGCUUCCUAAAUGUAUUAAUCUGUGUACAGUGUGCUCCAUGGCUCAGAAAGUAGAUCUGGUGCCAUUUUGUAGCCAUGUAAAAUGGAUUCCAAAGCCAGCCAGUUGGAAAGUCCACAUAUCAUCAGAGCAGCAUGGAAACCUGUUCUGCGCAGCUGGAUCAUAUGACCAUCUGAUAUAACGGCAAUGGAGGGACAUAACCAAAUCAACACUGGGAGAGUACAUUCUUCAAUCCAAGCAAAAUUUGUGGAAGUGACUACACACUCAUGAAGAGCCAUGCAUGUUCUUAUGGUGACUGACUUGUGGAGUGAGGUAGCCCUAUGGAAGACUUUGAGUGACAUCUUGGAAAGGUCUGCAUGGACAGCAAUUCUCCCAAAGUUAGCAGUGAUGCCCUCUAGAAUAACACUCCUAGAGGAAGCCUACAAGUGCUAACAUUUUGGCCAAGUCACUCUAUGGACCAUUCAGAAACUCCAGCAGAAAGCCCUUCUAUUUUCUGAGGAUUUUCAUGACAAAUCAUCAUGGAACCAGAGGAAUUAUAUACAGUGGAAGAGUUCCAUCUUUAUGUCCCUCUUUAAUAAAAAAAAACACCAAGACCAAUACAAGAUAUUUUGCUGCCUGGGGCCAAGGACAAGAUAACCCCUUCCCAUUUCAAGUAUAGACUCCAUUUGGAUUGACAGAUGAAUCUUAGUUCAAUAUUAGCGAAGUAACGGCAUUUUCCACUACACCUGGGGCAGAAGGCUAAGUCAGUGGGUGCAAGGAAGGCUAGCGCAGGAGUCUCAAAGAAAGGAGAAUUGUAGAGUUGGAAGAGACCUCCAAGAUUAUCUAGUUGAA